rnacentral:misc_RNA from 1 species
AUCAGCUUGGUGGGGUCUAAAAACUUUUCUCUAACCUGUAACAGAUUUAUAUUACAUUAUAUCAUUCUCCUUUUUUCUUUCCAAAUAAAGGCCUUUUAUUGAAAACUGACUGAAAUAUUUUGGCAAAGCAACCACCCUUUUCUUAAACCCGUAUUUUCUUUCCUUAUUUCUGUAUUACCUGAUCUUUUGUGUAUCAUUUCCUUGAUGUACUUGCAUAAUCGGGGAACCAUUUCUGAAACAAGUGUUGAUAUUUUUCAUGUA